AUUACCUGAAUGCCAAACGUUGUGACCAUUGACAAUUUCAGGCUGGGACCGGAUGCAGCGAUCCGACGCUUGCACACUUACUGUGUUUACAAACACAUCGUGUUCCAGAGAGGAAUGAAUAUGAUUGGAUUCCUACGUUUCUGUCAUCAGAGAAAGGAGGUUUGAACCCUGAAGCUUGUGCAAGGUAGAGUGUGUUUUGGGAAUUGAGGAAGAACAGUCAGGAUGAAAAUAGGACAUGGUAAAAAAAAAAGAGAACGAAAGAAAAAAAAAGAAAGAAAAGAAAGGAAGGAAGGAAGGAAGGAAAAGAAAGAAAGAAAAACAGAAAUGGAGAAAGAAAAGUAAUGUCAUACAUCAUAAUUCACUAAAAAAGCCAAUGGGAUUUCUAUGGUAAAUAAAUGACAGUUGCAGUUGGUAAAAUGCACAAACAUGCCCUAUGGAUCCAGCCACCUUGGAGAUAAGUUUCCUAGCUGCAGUAACCUUUACACAAUGAUUUCCUUAAAGCAACUACCCCUUCUG